GCAUUUGAAAAUUAUUACAGACUUAAGACUUUGAUAAACAUUAAACAUUUUUGGUGGUCAAGACUGAGAACCUCCACAUGGUGACCACUGGGCAACAGCAUGUUGUGUAAACAGGGGGCGGAUUAGCACACCAGGACCCUGUUUAACUGGACAACAUUUUAUUUUGCAUAUUAUUUGUACAAUGUCAUAUGUUAGUCUGUUAAAGUGAUCUACCCCUGUGCGACUUUUGCACAACCUUUUGGCUAAUCUCAGCACUUUACACAAAAUAUGGCUUUUGAUUUUGUCCAUGGGACCCUAAAGUAGUUUAUUGCCCUGGCCUACCCAAAGUCUUUGGAUCAAUUACUUAACUCCCACCAAUACAGUCCCAACAGACAUGGUUUUUACAUUGUUUCAAUGCUCAUGGUAUUCAAACAGGCCUAGUUGAAAUAGUAAUGUAUCCAUUCUCAUGGAACCUCCAAAUCAUGAACCUGGGCUUUGACUCCCACAAAUGAGGGGCUCAUAAU